AGAGUUUGAUCAUGGCUCAGCCUGAACGCUGGCGGCGUGGCUAAGACAUGCAAGUCGCACGGUGUAGCAAUACACAGUGGCGAACGGGUGAGUAAUGUAUCGCUAAUGUGCCCCGGACUCUGAGAUAGCCAUCCGAAAGGGUGGGUAAUAUCAGAUGAUAUACCUUUAUCGCAUGAUAGAGGUCUCAAAGGUCCGCCGGUCUGGGAGCAGGCGAUAUCGUAUCAGGUAGUUGGUGAGGUAACGGCUCACCAAGCCGACGACGCGUAGCUGGUCUGAGAGGACGGCCAGCCACAUCGGAACUGAGACACUGUCCGGACUCCUACGGGGGGCUGCAGUAACGAAUCUUCCACAAUGCACGAAAGUGUGAUGGAGCGACGCCGCGUGUAGGACGAAGUCCUUCGGGAUGUAAACUACUGUCAGGGGAAAGAAAGUUCUGAUCUACCCCAGAGGAAGAGGCGGCUAACUCUGUGCCAGCAGCCGCGGUAAUACAGAGGCCUCGAGCGUUAGGCGGAAUCACUGGGCUUAAAGCGUGUGUAGGUGGAUGCCUAAGUACCUUGUGAAAUCCCACGGCUUAACCGUGGAACUGCUUGGUAUACUGGGUGUCUUGAGCCACUCAGGGGCUACCGGAACAAAUGGUGGAGCGGUGAAAUGCGUAGAUAUCAUUUGGAACGCCAAUGGUGAAAACAGGUAGCUGGGGGUGUGCUGACACUGAGACACGAAAGCCAGGGGAGCGAACGGGAUUAGAUACCCCUGUAGUCC
rnacentral:rRNA from 1 species